CAAAUUAAUCGAUAGUAAUAACUUUGUUGCACUGCAUGGAGCGGGAAGCAGAAGCAGAAGAAGACACCCCUUCACCGGCGCCGGAAACGGAGGAAGAAGAAGAAGCCCCUUCACCCCAGCGUCGCUCCAUCUGCUCCAAGUGCCACCGUCCGACACGCGUGUGUCUCUGCCACGUGCUCCCCCUCGACCCCAUCCCAACCACCACGCGCGUCCUCAUCCUCCAGCACCCCCACGAGGCCCGCCACAAGCUCUCCACCACCCCCCUCCUCACCCGCUCCCUCCUCCACGCCUCCGCCCUCACCGCCCGCCGCCUCCGCCCCGGCCUCUCCCCCCUCCUCGACGCCGCUCCCCCCGCCCUCUACCUCUUCCCCGCCGCCCCCGCCACCCACAUCUCCGCCCUCCGCCCCUCCGAGCUCCCCCCCGGCCUCCUCCUCAUCGCCUUCGACGCCACGUGGAGCCACGCGCGCGAGAUGGUGAAGGCCAGCGAGGGCUUUCUCUCCACGUUCGCCACUAGGGUUUCUCUCGCCGUCGAUGAGAGUGUUAGCGGCGGAACCAUUUACGAUUCGGAUUUGAUUCUGAGGAAGGAGCCUUAUGCUGGCUGCGUCAGCACCAUGGAGGCUGUGGCUAGGGCCUUGCGCGUCCUCGAGCCCAAUGGCCUCCACGUUGAAGAGAGGUUGAUUGGGAUUUUGAGGGAGAUGGUCAGGUUGCAGGCUGGGUUUUUGAAGCCCGUCAAGCCCAGGCCCAAGUUGUUGAAGCACAAGAAGAAGGUUGAGGGCAAGGAAAAGACUGAGGGUUCUAACCAAGUUUCUUCGUGAAGCUGGGAUUUCACAUGGAAGAAUUGAGAUGGUGAAAAUAUGGGCUUGUAGGACUAAGUUGAUUUGACUACUAUAGUGUUCCAACUAUUUCUCUCUUACGAGCUUUCCUUCAACACUUCGUGAAUGCAUAACUUCAUUACAGUUCAAUUCAAGAAUAGGAAAGGAAAAGAACAAAUUUUGCUGACCAAAAUUAAUAUGAAUGUGAAGAAUAGGUUAAGAUAUCAGACGAGACUGCAGACCAUUUUUGACAUUUAAGGCUUCCAGAGCGGAUGAUUACUAUUUAAAGCUCGGUUUCCAUGAAGGCUCCAGAAUAGCACAACAAACUACAGAAUAACUAAACCAUACGCAUUGGGGUCACCAGAGGAUGACUACAGCUUUAGUUCCAGUGACAUGACUAUGCUUAACAUUAGCUACCGAACUAUGGUAAUGGUAAACAAAUUGCCAGAGCCACCCAUUCCUAAACAGUUGAUUACCUCCCUUGUACUGAACAGUUUUAUCAUCACUAAUAUAAUCAUGGGUUGAGUUGGGUUCAUUUGGAUCUGUUACCAAGGUGUGUGUUUGUGUGUGGAAUGAAGGCUUUAUUGGGUUUUUAUAAAUGGUUCUAGAGCAACCAGCAUCCUGUUGCGUAAUCCUAACCAGGAAGGGAGGUAUAAUCUAAAUCAACCUUUGAAGGAAAGGAAUCAAAUCAAGGAUACUUGUUCAAAAGGAGGUGCUUGUUUCCACUUUCUAAGCUUUGUAAGGAUUCAUAUUCAGCAAAGUCUGAAAUGUGAUAAUCUUGUCCCAUGCUAUACUUCUCUUACAGAGAUCUAAUUCGAGAAUAUAAUCGGGUGUACGUGUGACAUGCAUUGUCACAAUUUUUUUUUCCCCUUUGUAAUUAGUAUCUGUGUUUGUCUUGCACAAUAUAAAUUACAAAUUUUUAAUUAUUAUAUACGUCUAUCAAUUUAUCUGUAAUAUGAAAGCCCUUAUUAAAAGUUGUCACUUAUGCU